AACGAACGCUGGCGGCAUGCCUAACACAUGCAAGUCGAACGUGACCUUCGGGUCUAGUGGCGCACGGGUGCGUAACGCGUGGGAACCUGCCCUUAGGUUCGGAAUAACUCCCCGAAAGGGGUGCUAAUACCGGAUAAUGUCUUCGGACCAAAGAUUUAUCGCCUUUGGAUGGGCCCGCGUUGGUUUAGCUAGUUGGUAGGGUAAAAGCCUACCAAGGCGACGAUCCAUAGCUGGUCUGAGAGGAUGAUCAGCCACACUGGGACUGAGACACGGCCCAGACUCCUACGGGAGGCAGCAGUGGGGAAUAUUGGACAAUGGGCGAAAGCCUGAUCCAGCAAUGCCGCGUGAGUGAUGAAGGCCUUAGGGUUGUAAAGCUCUUUUACCCGGGAUGAUAAUGACAGUACCGGGAGAAUAAGCUCCGGCUAACUCCGUG
rnacentral:rRNA from 1 species